CAGUAGCCACGGGAAUACGUAGGGUGCAAGCGUUAAUCGGAAUUACUGGGCGUAAAGCGUGCGUAGGCGGUUCGUUAAGUCUGUUGUGAAAGCCCCGGGCUCAACCUGGGAAUGGCAAUGGAUACUGGCGAGCUAGAGUGUGUCAGAGGAUGGUGGAAUUCCCGGUGUAGCGGUGAAAUGCGUAGAGAUCGGGAGGAACAUCAGUGGCGAAGGCGGCCAUCUGGGACAACACUGACGCUGAGGCACGAAAGCGUGGGGAGCAAACAGGAUUAGAUACCCGAGUAGUCCCUGUCUCUUAUAC
rnacentral:rRNA from 1 species